CCUACGGGUGGCUGCAGUGGGGAAUAUUGGACAAUGGGCGAAAGCCUGAUCCAGCAAUACCGAGUGGGUGAUGAAGGCCUUAGGGUUGUAAAGCCCUUUUCAGCAGGGAAGAUAAUGACGGUACCUGACCAAGAAAGCCCCGGCUAACUCCGUGCCAGCAGCCGCGGUAAGACGGAGGGGGCUAGCGUUGUUCGGAAUUACUGGGCGUAAAGAGUGCGUAGGCGGUUUGGUAAGUUGGAAGUGAAAGCCCGAGGCUUAACCUCGGAACUGCUUUC
rnacentral:rRNA from 1 species